GUAGCUCCAUCUCUCAGUCGCCAUAGUUGUUGUGGAUAAAAUUUGCCUAAAAUAAAUUUACUGGUGACAUCUUCAUCAAAAUGACGCCAGCACGAGCGUGACGAGUCCAAAAGCCACAUUUUUGGAGUACAACAGUCUUCAAUAAAGCACCGUUUCACCAUUUUUGGAUAACUUUUAAACCACUCAUCAAUCAAACGGUUACAUCGCAUUCAAACAUAAAAUGGCCGUCUUCGAACCAUGGACUACUCUAACUAAAGGACGGGACUCUUCGACAUUUCCUACGCCACCCAUGAAAAUAGCCCACAACGACACCCUUUAACAAGGCGAGAUAGGGAAAGAGUCCCGUCCUUGGCCCCUUCCCGGCAUCCAUUGCGGCGGCCAUUUUGAUGACGCGCGUAAUUCAAAUUUGAAUUCUAACUUCUAAUUAUUGUUAUUUCAAC